UUGUUCGUGGUGAAAGACAAAACAGACCCCCUAGGGGUCUUAAUUAUUGCAGGUUCAUUAGUUCCUACCGAGGAAA
rnacentral:tRNA from 1 species